GGUUGCACCGUCGACCGACCUUGAUCUUCUGAGAAGGGUUCNNGUGAGAGCAUGCCUGUCGGGACCCNAAAGAUGGUGAACUAUGNNUGAGCGGGGCGNNGCCAGAGGAAACUCUGGUGGAGGCCCGCNGCKGUACUGACGUGCAAAUCGUUCGUCUGACUUGNGNNUAGGGGCGAAAGACUAAUCGAACCAUGAACCGGGACGUGGCGGCUGACGGCAACGUUAGGAAGUCCGGAGACGUCGGCGGGGGCCUCGGGAAKAGUUAUCUUUUCUGUUUAACAGCCUGCCCACCCUGGAAACGGCUCAKCCKGAGUUAGGGUCCAKCGGCUGGAAGAGCACCGCACGUCGCGUGGUGUCCGGUGCCCCCGGCGGCCCUUGAAAAUCCGGAGGA
rnacentral:rRNA from 1 species